rfam:Hordeum vulgare subsp. vulgare, WGS project CAJW01000000 data, contig: morex_contig_67903
UGCUUGCUGUGAUGAAUCACAAGGACGGUAUCUGAGCUAGGUGGUACUUGAAGAAGGCCUCUCUCCUUGAUUAUACACCCUACACUGAUCAUAAUAUCUGAGCAAGCA